rnacentral:rRNA from 1 species
GUGAACGCUGGCGGUCGGCCUAACACAUGCCAGUCGAACGGCAGCACAGUAAGAGCUUGCUCUUCCGGGUGGCGAGUGGCGGACGGGUGCGGAAUACAUCGGAAUCUACUUUUUCGUGGGGGAUAACGUAGGGAAACUUACGCUAAUACCGCAUACGACCUACGGGUGAAAGCCGGGGAUCUUCGGACCUUGCGCGAUUGAAUGAGCCGAUGUCGGAUUAGCUAGUUGGCGGGGUAAAGGCCCACCAAGGCGACGAUCCGUAGCUGGUCUGAGAGGAUGGUCAGCCACACUGGAACUGAGACACGGUCCAGACUCCUACGGGAGGCAGCAGUGGGGAAUAUUGGACAAUGGGCGCAAGCCUGAUCCAGCCAUACCGCGUGGGUGAAGAAGGCCUUCGGGUUGUAAAGCCCUUUUGUUGGGAAAGAAAAGCAGCAGGUUAAUACCCCGCUGUUCUGACGGUACCCAAAGAAUAAGCACCGGCUAACUUCGUG